rnacentral:pre_miRNA from 1 species
AUAAAACUCACAGAGCACCUUGUUAAAAUAGAUUCUGUUUCAGUACACCUAGGAAAGGGACUGAGAUUCUGCAUCUUUAACAAGCUUCCAGUUGAGGUUUAU